rnacentral:tRNA from 1 species
GGUCUUAUGGUCUAGUUGGUUAGGACUAUGGUUUUUGAUACCAUCAGCCUGGGUUCGAAUCCCAGUAGGACCU